rnacentral:rRNA from 1 species
AUUGAACGCUGGCGGCAGGCCUAACACAUGCAAGUCGAACGGUAACAGGAAGAAGCUUGCUUCUUUGCUGACGAGUGGCGGACGGGUGAGUAAUGUCUGGGAAACUGCCUGAUGGAGGGGGAUAACUACUGGAAACGGUAGCUAAUACCGCAUAACGUCGCAAGACCAAAGAGGGGGACCUUCGGGCCUCUUGCCAUCGGAUGUGCCCAGAUGGGAUUGGCUAGUAGGUGGGGUAACGGCUCACCUAGGCGACGAUCCCUAGCUGGUCUGAGAGGAUGACCAGCCACACUGGAACUGAGACACGGUCCAGACUCCUACGGGAGGCAGCAGUGGGGAAUAUUGCACAAUGGGCGCAAGCCUGAUGCAGCCAUGCCGCGUGUAUGAAGAAGGCCUUCGGGUUGUAAAGUACUUUCAGCGGGGAGGAAGGGAGUAAAGUUAAUACCUUUACUCAUUGACGUUACCCGCAGAAGAAGCACCGGCUAACUCCGUG